AUUCCAGUCCGGGCCCCUCUGGCCGAUGCGUCCCGCCGUGGCGCAUCGGUGAUGUCGGACUGCUCAU
rfam:Azospirillum brasilense Sp245 plasmid AZOBR_p1 complete genome